rnacentral:rRNA from 1 species
CAAGGAAUCUUGCGCAAUGGGCGAAAGCCUGACGCAGCGACGCCGCGUGGGGGAAGAAGGCUCUCGGGUCGUAAACCCCUUUUCUGGGGGAAGAAGUUCUGACGGUACCCCAGGAAUAAGCCCCGGCUAACUACGUGCCAGCAGCCGCGGUAAUACGUAGGGGGCGAGCGUUGUCCGAAUUUACUGGGCGUAAAGGGCGUGUAGGCGGCCCGGUAGGUCCUCUGUGAAAUCUCCCGGCUUAACCGGGAGCGGUCAGGGGAAACCACCAGGCUUGAGGGCAGCAGAGGAAGGCGGAAUUCCCGGUGUAGUGGUGAAAUACGUAGAUAUCGGGAGGAACACCAGAGGCGAAGGCGGCCUUCUGGGCUGUUGCUGACGCUGAGGCGCGAAAGCGUGGGGAGCGAACCGG